UUGGGUAUAGUACAGUGGUAGAGCACAUGCUUAGUCAGUAUGUAUGAGGCUCUGGCUUCAAUUCCCAGCACCAAAU
rnacentral:tRNA from 1 species